rnacentral:lncRNA from 1 species
CAACUUCCGGCCAGAAAGGAGCAGGCGCUUCCUGUGUGAGGGUCGGGGUGAGCCAGGUCCUAUCGGGUAGCUGAGCCCCAGCGUGCUGAGAUACCUCGAAUUGCAACUCCGAGACCUGGCUAACCUCUGAAUUGAAGGAGCAGUCGUUUCGGGUGGGUCCAGGCAGGGCGCUGAGAGGAAUCGGCCGUGGGGACAACUCUGGACCACAUUUCCCAGAGGGCCUGGCGGCCUGUCACUCUUCUCGCGGGAACUCGAAAUUUUCAUCACGCCUGGCGGGACCGUUAGAUUCGUGAGGCCAGAGAUCGUGGGCCCCUGGGGACCUGGUUCAGCUGUGCAGUUCUACCCUUCUCCAGGUGAGGCUCAAAAGAGAAAGAAAGAAUGCAUGAUGAACUUCUGCAAACAGUGUCCAAGUGGCAUCUCUCUUGAUCACCAAAGAACUGGAUCUGAUUUCUGGGACACCAACAGCAUAACCAUGUCCCGUGUCUUUUCUUGUGAUCAGGACUUUCUAGUUCUAAACCGGCUGUGAUCUCCCUUUUGGAACAAGGAAAAGAGCCCUGGAUGAUUGACAGAGAACUGACCAGAGGCCUUUGUUCAGGUAAGCAAGAGAUGAUAGU